GUGGGGCUCAACGGAGCAGGCCUGUAGUCCCAGCUCCUAGAGAGGCUGAGACAAGAGGGUUGCAUGAUCCCAGGAGUUCUAGGCUGCAGUGUGCUAUUCCAAUUUGGUGUCCACACUAAGUUCAGCAUCAAUACGGUGACCUUCUGGGAGCAGAGGACCAGCGAAUUGCCUAUGGAGGGGUGAAUUGGUCCAGGGUAGAAAUAGAGCAAGUCAAAACUCUCGUGCUUGAAAUGGGAUUACUCCUACGAAUGGCCACUGCAUUCCAGCCUGGACAAUAUAGCAAGACCUCAUCUCUU
rfam:Pongo abelii chromosome 1.